rnacentral:rRNA from 1 species
GAUGAACGCUGGCGGCGUGCCUAAUACAUGCAAGUAGAACGCUGAAGCUUGGUGCUUGCACCGAGCGGAUGAGUUGCGAACGGGUGAGUAACGCGUAGGUAACCUGCCUCUUAGCGGGGGAUAACUAUUGGAAAGGAUAGCUAAUACCGCAUAAAAGACGAUAUCGCAUAAUAUUGAUUUGAAAGGUGCAAUUGCAUCACUAAGAGAUGGACCUGCGUUGUAUUAGCUAGUUGGUGAGGUAACGGCUCACCAAGGCGACGAUACAUAGCCGACCUGAGAGGGUGAUCGGCCACACUGGGACUGAGACACGGCCCAGACUCCUACGGGAGGCAGCAGUAGGGAAUCUUCGGCAAUGGGGGCAACCCUGACCGAGCAACGCCGCGUGAGUGAAGAUAGGUUUUCGGAUCGUAAAGCUCUGUUGUAAGAGAAGAACGAUGUGUGAUGAUGUGGAAAGUUCACACU